rnacentral:rRNA from 1 species
GACGAACGCUGGCGGCGUGCCUAAUACAAGCAAGUCGAGCGCAGGAAGUCGACGGAACCCUUCGGGGGGAAGUCGACGGAAUGAGCGGCGGACGGGUGAGUAACACGUAAAGAACCUGCCCUCAGGUCUGGGAUAACCACGAGAAAUCGGGGCUAAUACCGGAUGGGUCAUCGGACCGCAUGGUCCGAGGAUGAAAGGCGCUCCGGCGUCGCCUGGGGAUGGCUUUGCGGUGCAUUAGCUAGUUGGUGGGGUAAUGGCCCACCAAGGCGACGAUGCAUAGCCGACCUGAGAGGGUGAUCGGCCACACUGGGACUGAGACACGGCCAAGACUCCUACGGGAGGCAGCAGUAGGGAAUCUUCCACAAUGGACGAAAGUCUGAUGGAGCAACGCCGCGUGAACGAUGAAGGCCUUCGGGUCGUAAAGUUCUGUUGUAAGGGAAGAACAAGUGCCGCAGGCAAUGGCGGCACCUUGACGGUACCUUGCGAGAAAGCCACGGCUAACUACGUGCCAGCCGCCGCCGUAAGAC